rnacentral:sRNA from 1 species
UAGGCAACGACCCGAAGGGCGAAGCGCGCAGCGCUGAGUCAUCCUUCCCCCACCACCA